GAUGAACGCUGGCGGCGUGCCUAAUACAUGCAAGUCGAGCGAACAGACGAGGAGCUUGCUCCUCUGACGUUAGCGGCGGACGGGUGAGUAACACGUGGAUAACCUACCUAUAAGACUGGGAUAACUUCGGGAAACCGGAGCUAAUACCGGAUAAUAUAUUGAACCGCAUGGUUCAAUAGUGAAAGACGGUUUUGCUGUCACUUAUAGAUGGAUCCGCGCCGCAUUAGCUAGUUGGUAAGGUAACGGCUUACCAAGGCAACGAUGCGUAGCCGACCUGAGAGGGUGAUCGGCCACACUGGAACUGCGACACGGUCCAGACUCCUACGGGAGGCAGCAGUAGGGAAUCUUCCGCAAUGGGCGAAAGCUUGACGGAGCAACGCCGCGUGAGUGAUGGAGGUCUUCGGAUCGUAAAACUCUGUUAUUAGGGAAGAACAAAUGUGUAAGUAACUAUGCACGUCUUGACGGUACCUAAUCAGAAAGCCACGGCUAACUACGUG
rnacentral:rRNA from 1 species